rnacentral:lncRNA from 1 species
GUUUGCAGAGUGGGGGCCGAGCUUGGAAGAUCCUCCCCAAGGGCAGCCAGACAGCCCUCCCUGGGCAGUGGCCUCUCUCCCUACAUGCCCUGGCUGCCCUGCAUCCCCCCACAAAGGCAAGGUUCUUGGCGAAGCCCCUCUGGGCAGCAGGUGUCUUCUACCCUCACCCACCCCGGCUUGCAUUUCACAAAAUGCUGACUCACCGGCAAAUGGGACUUCCAAGAUCCGUCAUGAUCCCAUCCAGCUUCAACUCAAGCACUUCCGAAAACCAGGAACUCGCCACCACACAAGGCAGCAUUCUAAUUUGGGGCAGCUCAAAUUUGGGGCAAGUUUUUCUUUGAUAUUAAGGAAAAAAAGAAAAAAAAAACUUCUCCAUAUCGUCCACUGAUUUUACCAUCUGAGAGUCGCACAGGAUAAUUUCGCUAUCUUCCAGAUAAGAUAGACUUGUAAACAUUUAUAGGAUUGUUCUAAUUUCCCAGUGAGUCUUCUGUUUUCCAAAUGGUUCCAGUUCCUUCAGCCAUAUCUCUCAGGAAUAAUUCCUCAUCACUUCUCUUUCCAGUUGCUGUCCUCGGACUAUGCAUCCAUUUUUCACUUAAUUAUUUUGCUGCUCAUUCAUUCAUUCAUUCAUUCCGAAAGAGAAUUGAAGGAGCUUGCAAAAGCAUAAUUGAUAACAGCAGGGUAAUCAAAGUAAUUAGUGAAGGGAAAAUAAGUGCAGGAAAUAUUGACCCAAGGUAAUUGGAGCACAUAAACCCGUACCUAGAGAGUCCUAAACUUGGCGAGGUGUAGACACCAAAUUUGCCUUUUGAACUUCCUGGCAGCCAAGGCAAAAAGGGAAAUAAUGGCUGUUAUGCAAUUCAGCCUCUCUAAGAGCAAACAGGAAACACAGCUGUUCCUGGACCUGGGAAUGAAAGAAAAAAUUCCCCUGGGUUCUCCCAGAGAAGAAUGCAUCCAACAAUUUUCUUACAAUAAAUUCAAUAACACAGUUACUUAGGCUGUUUUUUUAUAAAAUCAUCUCUCACUAUAGAUCCAGGCUUUAACUCCAAAGUAUAA